UGUUUCUAAAAGAUAAACUGUGAUGCUGAUUAAGAGAAGGCAAGUUGCAAAACUUACAGAGGGUGUACAAGAGAUCCAAAAUGCAGAAUGCACCUCUUGUCUCUCCUUUGGUUGCUACAAGAGUCGCUUUAGGACAGUUAGUGCCACACCUGUAUUUAUUAUAUGCAUAAUGCACUGUCCUAAUCUGCCUUAAUCAUCACACUAGCUUAAUGAUUAUGCAUAUUAGAAGUGUCAUCUUUCAAACUUUAUGUCGACUAUACAUAAACUCUAGACUGCACGAUCAUGUUUUUUGAUUAACAGCCCGAGCUCGAUCACUACUUUUAAUUGGAAUCUGGAUGCACAUACCCUCUUUGACCGCACAGUACAUAAAUUCCUACAGUGUUGGUGGUAGCAUCUGUAAAGGCUCUGGGCAUGGAGGUGGUGGACAAGAAGGCUCUCUAACUAGUCGUCAUUUGUUCAGGUUCUUUAGUGGCCAUACAUUGGAUUCUCUUAUAAAAACUGCUUGUUGUUGUAUGAUGGAUAAUGAUUAGUCUUUAAAAUUUGUGUUUAG
rnacentral:lncRNA from 1 species